UACGUAGGGGGCAAGCGUUAUCCGGAAUUACUGGGUGUAAAGGGAGCGUAGACGGUUAAGUAAGUCUGGAGUGAAAGGCCGGGGCCCAACCCCGGGACUGCUUUUGAAACUGCGUUGCUAGAUUGCGGGAGAGGCAAGUGGAAUUCCUAGUGUAGCGGUGAAAUGCGUAGAUAUUAGGAGGAACACCAGUGGCGAAGGCGGCUUGCUGGACUGUAAAUGACGCUGAGGCUCGAAAGCGUGGGGAGCAAACAGG
rnacentral:rRNA from 1 species